rnacentral:lncRNA from 1 species
GGUUGAAUCCAAUCUAUCUAGUAACAAAGGAGGACUUACAUGGAACAGGAGAACGGUAGAGUGAUGCGACAUAGCAUCACAUCUGGUGUACGAAAACGGAAGUAUUCACAGCGACCAUCACAUCUGGUGUACGAAAACGGAAGUAUUCACAGCGACGCGGCAUCGCACCGCGUCCAGUGAACACUUCUAUCAAUACAGGAAAGCCUUACCUUAGGCAUAGAAGAAGAUGAACGUAGCGGUACGGCUGACACCGCACCAUACGGACAUUUUCGUCACGACAAGGGAUGCAGGCAAGACGACGAUGCGGCUAGCACCGCAUCUCGCGUAUUCCUUGAUCACAAGUAUGAGACGCGGUAACUUCAGAUGUUACCGCACGUAGCGAUGCGGCUUGCACCGCAUCCUAUGCACUCAAGCAAGUGGUACUGACACCACAGUGCAAGUGGCACCAAUGGCAGUUACCUGUCAGAGCUACGUAAGCAAUGGACUGACGUGGCGUAACCUCCAUAACCGACGAGC